UACGUAGGGGGCGAGCGUUGUCCGGAAUUAUUGGGCGUAAAGAGCGUGUAGGCGGUUCGGUAAGUCUGCCGUGAAAACCUGGGGCUCAACCCUGGGCGUGCGGUGGAUACUGCCGGGCUAGAGGGUGGUAGAGGCGAGUGGAAUUCCCGGUGUAGCGGUGAAAUGCGCAGAUAUCAGGAAGAACACCAACGGCGAAGGCAGCUCGCUGGGACGGAACUGACGCUAAGGCGCGAAAGCGUGGGGAGCGAACAGG
rnacentral:rRNA from 1 species